rnacentral:rRNA from 1 species
CAGCCGCCGCGGUAACACGAAGGGUGCAAGCGUUAAUCGGAAUUACUGGGCGUAAAGCGUGCGUAGGCGGUGAGUUAAGUCUGCUGUGAAAUCCCCGGGCUCAACCUGGGAAUGGCAGUGGAUACUGGCUCGCUAGAGUGUGUCAGAGGAUGGUGGAAUUCCCGGUGUAGCGGUGAAAUGCGUAGAGAUCGGGAGGAACAUCAGUGGCGAAGGCGGCCAUCUGGGACAACACUGACGCUGAGGCACGAAAGCGUGGGGAGCAAACAGGAUUAGAUACCCCCGUAGUCCCUGUCUCUUAUAC